CAGCCAACAUCACAAUUCACAGUCGUGCUUGGAUCUUCCACUGCAACGGUUCCGCUUCUACAACUCGGUCGUCGGACGUUCCGCUUGUCAGGUUCCUUCAGUGCUCCAUGUUUGCUGCGCUUGCCCAUCGUCUUCAAUCGUCAAUAACUGCCCUGCUUCCCUCCUUUGUUCAUCUCUUACAAAUUGAUGGGUGAUGAAGCUUUCAGUUUAGCUUUUCAGCUUUGAAUGUGAGUGUUCUGAGUUUAUCUCAAAAGCUAUGACAAGAC